rnacentral:rRNA from 1 species
AGAGUUUGAUCCUGGCUCAGGACGAACGCUGGCGGCGUGCCUAAUACAUGCAAGUCGAACGAACUCUGGUAUUGAUUGGUGCUUGCAUCAUGAUUUACAUUUGAGUGAGUGGCGAACUGGUGAGUAACACGUGGGAAACCUGCCCAGAAGCGGGGGAUAACACCUGGAAACAGAUGCUAAUACCGCAUAACAACUUGGACCGCAUGGUCCGAGCUUGAAAGAUGGCUUCGGCUAUCACUUUUGGAUGGUCCCGCGGCGUAUUAGCUAGAUGGUGGGGUAACGGCUCACCAUGGCAAUGAUACGUAGCCGACCUGAGAGGGUAAUCGGCCACAUUGGGACUGAGACACGGCCCAAACUCCUACGGGAGGCAGCAGUAGGGAAUCUUCCACAAUGGACGAAAGUCUGAUGGAGCAACGCCGCGUGAGUGAAGAAGGGUUUCGGCUCGUAAAACUCUGUUGUUAAAGAAGAACAUAUCUGAGAGUAACUGUUCAGGUAUUGACGGUAUUUAACCAGAAAGCCACGGCUAACUACGUGCCAGCAGCCGCGGUAAUACGUAGGUGGCAAGCGUUGUCCGGAUUUAUUGGGCGUAAAGCGAGCGCAGGCGGUUUUUUAAGUCUGAUGUGAAAGCCUUCGGCUCAACCGAAGAAGUGCAUCGGAAACUGGGAAACUUGAGUGCAGAAGAGGACAGUGGAACUCCAUGUGUAGCGGUGAAAUGCGUAGAUAUAUGGAAGAACACCAGUGGCGAAGGCGGCUGUCUGGUCUGUAACUGACGCUGAGGCUCGAAAGUAUGGGUAGCAAACAGGAUUAGAUACCCUGGUAGUCCAUACCGUAAACGAUGAAUGCUAAGUGUUGGAGGGUUUCCGCCCUUCAGUGCUGCAGCUAACGCAUUAAGCAUUCCGCCUGGGGAGUACGGCCGCAAGGCUGAAACUCAAAGGAAUUGACGGGGGCCCGCACAAGCGGUGGAGCAUGUGGUUUAA